rnacentral:misc_RNA from 1 species
AGGAAUCGUUCUCUUAACAGGCGCAAAUCAGGAGACCGGUUUGAUCGAAGUAACAGUCUUUAUGCAAGUGAUGCAGAGAAGAAUCAACAGUUUGCCCCUCCAAGAAACCUUCCAAUUGUAGAUCAUGUUGAUGUAGGGAGCAGCAAUGUCCUGAAUGAGAACUCUCGUCCAGGCUUAAUAAGUUUAGAUGGGUGCUGUCGCAGUGAGGCUUCCCAGCUUUUAAAUGAUCGUUGGGCAUUGGCAAUGCAUAAUUACAAUGACGAUUCCAUAGAUUUAUCUGAAAGGCCAGUUAUGUAUUCAUCAGCAUGGGGUCAGUUCAGACUUCCUCAUCAGUUUAUGUCUCCAGCAAAUAGUGGUGGACCUGGUUCACAGAUGGACUUCCUGAGUGAACUUCGCCGUGCAAUUCACGACUCCAGUGCCAAUCCCAACAACUAACAGUCUCGGAUCCCUAAUCAAGGACGAAUGCUCUCUGAAUCUGAGACUGGUGCUCAGGAGUCAGGAUUACCUGUUCUAUUGUGUUAAUGAAAACCCAGAAUCUGCUACUCUGUUGGAGAAGAAAAAAAGCGAGAGAAAAAGUGUCUGCUACUUAAAUAUAGUCUUGUGAUUUAUGUUAUAGAGGUUGUUCUGCGUGCAAACAAAAAUCAAUCUCUUAUGUUGUAUUUUAU